rnacentral:tRNA from 1 species
AGGGAUAUAGCUCAGUGGUAGAACGCGUGCUUAGCAUGCACAAGGUCCUGGGUUCAAUCCCCAGUACCUCCA